GCGGGGGGCACGCGCAAAACACACAAAAGGAGAGGGGUAACAAAGGAAGCUUGUUCUUUGCCGGCGAGCGGCGGACGGGUGAGUAAUGUCUGGGAAACUGCCUGAUGGAGGGGGAUAACUACUGGAAACGGUAGCUAAUACCGCAUAACGUCGCAAGACCAAAGAGGGGGACCUUCGGGCCUCUUGCCAUCAGAUGUGCCCAGAUGGGAUUAGCUAGUAGGUGGGGUAACGGCUCACCUAGGCGACGAUCCCUAGCUGGUCUGAGAGGAUGACCAGCCACACUGGAACUGAGACACGGUCCAGACUCCUACGGGAGGCAGCAGUGGGGAAUAUUGCACAAUGGGCGCAAGCCUGAUGCAGCCAUGCCGCGUGUAUGAAGAAGGCCUUCGGGUUGUAAAGUACUUUCAGCGGGGAGGAAGGCGCUGAGGCUAAUAACCUCAGCGAUGACGUUACCCGCAGAAGAAG
rnacentral:rRNA from 1 species